rnacentral:rRNA from 1 species
UACGUAGGGGGCGAGCGUUGUCCGGAUUUAUUGGGCGUAAAGAGCGUGUAGGCGGCCAGACAGGUCCGUUGUGAAAACUAGAGGCUUAACCUCUAGACGUCGAUGGAAACCGUCUGGCUAGAGUGCGGAAGGGGCUACUGGAAUUCUCGGUGUAGCGGUGAAAUGCGUAGAUAUCGAGAGGAACACCUGCGGCGAAGGCGGGUUGCUGGGCUGAUACUGACGCUGAGGCGCGAAAGCCAGGGGAGCGAACGGG